rnacentral:rRNA from 1 species
AACGAACGCUGGCGGCAUGCCUAACACAUGCAAGUCGAACGAGACCUUCGGGUCUAGUGGCGCACGGGUGCGUAACGCGUGGGAACCUGCCCUUAGGUUCGGAAUAACUCCCCGAAAGGGGUGCUAAUACCGGAUAAUGUCUUCGGACCAAAGAUUUAUCGCCUUUGGAUGGGCCCGCGUUGGAUUCGCUAGUUGGUAGGGUAAAAGCCUACCAAGGCGACGAUCCCUAGCUGGUCUGAGAGGAUGAUCAGCCACACUGGGACUGAGACACGGCCCAGACUCCUACGGGAGGCAGCAGUGGGGAAUAUUGGACAAUGGGCGAAAGCCUGAUCCAGCAAUGCCGCGUGAGUGAUGAAGGCCUUAGGGUUGUAAAGCUCUUUUACCCGGGAUGAUAAUGACAGUACCGGGAGAAUAAGCUCCGGCUAACUCCGUG